rnacentral:rRNA from 1 species
AUGGCUGAGCUCGCGUCUGGCGCCGUGAGCUCGCUGCUGGGCCUCCUCCGAAACGAGGCGCUGCUGCUGAGCCGCGUCGGGAGCGACUCGGAGUUCAUCAAGGAGGAGAUGGAGAGUAUGCACAGCUUCCUGGAGCACCUGGCCAGGACAGCGCCUCCCGCUGGUGGCGGUGGGCACGACGAGCAGGUCCACACGUGGAUGAAGCAGGUCCGGGACCUGGCCCACGACUGCAGCAACUGCAUCGACCUCUACCUCCGGCGUGGUGAUCCGGCGGUCUACCGUGCCAGGGCCGGCCGCUGGCGCUAUCUCUGGUGGGCUUCCUGGUUGGUGCAGAGGAUGGUCGCCCAGCACAACGUGGCCAUCCGGCUGCGCGAGCUCAAGGAGCGGGCACGCGACGUCGGCAACCGGCGGCUGUGGUACGGCGUGGAGAUCCCACGGAAGGAGGAGGCGGCACCUUUGCCCUCGUCAUCGUCUCAAGCUGCUGGCAUAGAAUACAAGGAGGAUGAAGACUAUCAGAUUCAAGCCGCCAACGGUUCUGAUCCCCGUCAAAGAGCUCUAGAACCUCGCCUUGUCGAGGAGUACUGUGCCGAGAAGCUAGUCGAGAAGUUAGCCAACUGGCAGGAAUUGCAAGCCAAAACCAACAACCGUAUAUCCAUGGCAUCCAUUGCCAUUGUUGCGCCGGAUGAUACAAAGGGCGCCGGCACCGUCGCACAGGACUCUUUGAGGUUUGCCACCAAAAACUUUAAGCGCACGGUUUGGGUCAACCUCUCGGCACUGCACUUCCCAUGGGAUCUUCCACUGUUACCCAGCGAGAUCCUCUCCUACAUCCUGUAUGAGUGUGAGCAGCAGAAACAGCAUGAGGAUGAGCAGCAGAAACAGCAUGAGGAUGAGCAGCAGAAACAGCAUGAGGAUGAGCAGCAGAAAGUCACAGGCGGGCAAGGUGAGGUGAAGCCGAAGAUGCCUAUUCCUUGGGAAGGUUACAGUUACAAAGCAAGACUCCGGUACGAAAUACUGAAUAUGUUUAAUUAUGGAGAAAUCCGCAAGCAGAUUGAUGAGAUCAGGAACAAGGUUCGAGAAGUUGACAAGGGGGAGAUUGGAGGAGUGGAUAGAGGGAAGGUUGAAGAAAACAAGUGCUUAGGCAUAUUCCACCAUGCGCUGCGGCUCGUGCUGAACACGCUGGUUCGGCCACUAUCCUCAGAGGGGGCUAUAGAGGAAACUGCUUCAUUGCUGAAAGAUCAUAUGGAAACAGGCGAGUCCAACUCCAAGACCCAGAUUCAUCUCGAUAAUAGCCAAUAUGAAGAUAUCCUGCGCAAGGUGUUCCCGACAAACAAGCCCCUGCAGUCCCAGCAGAUCCAGGAAGCCACCACCAGUAGUGCUACUACACUAAGCGAGGCUCACAUCAAAGAAAUCAUCCACAACCACAAGAUUACUCUAGACAUCAUAUUGGGGCUGCUUCCCAAGCCACAGCUACUGGAAGGCACCUCUACCAAGGAACAAGCCAUUGAUGCUGCUGCUUCUGUCUCCAAGGAGAUAUCAGGGGAGGCAACAGGUGCUGCUGCUGCUGUUAUCAAAGAAACCAAGGAGAAAACGAAGGAGGUAUCAGAGGAGGUGACCAGUGCCAUUGCUUCUGCUGUCAUCGAAGAAACCAAGGAGAAAACGGAGACAUCAGGGGAGGUGAGCAGGGAUAUUGCUGCGGCCGUUGUCAAUCAAACCAAGGAGAAACUCAAGGAGCUAUCAGCGGAGGUGACCAGUGCUAUUGCUGCUGCUGUUAUCAAGGAAACCAAGGAGAAAAUGAAGGAGAUGGACAUUACCGGUGCUAUUGCUGCUGCUGUCAUCGAAGAAGCAAAAGAAAAGAUGAAGGGAAUAGUAUCAGGAGAGGUUGAGGCGACCAGUGAUGUUGCUGCUGCUAUCACUGAAACCAUCAAAGAAACCCUGGAAAAAAUGUCGCAGAUCCCGUGGAGGAUUUGGGGUCUGCUGUACACCAAAGGGAUAGUGGAUAAGAUUAAGCCACGUCUGAAAAAUAAGAAGACCCUGAUUAUCCUCCAAGAUGACAAAGACUAUGUGUCAGCUGAAUCCCGGUGGGAGGAGUCCAGAAAUGCUUUGAACCUAUUAGGCUGUGCACCUGGCAGUACAGUGAUUGUGUCCACAAAGAACAGCGAAAAGGCCAAAGAUUUUUGCUAUCCACCGGGAGAACCAAUAACAUGUUCUCUAGUUGGACUCUACCAUGACACUGUGCUCCAGCUUACAAAGCCACGGAUGAUUAAUGGAAAUGACGGAGACAUCCCGGGGAUUCUACGUGAAAUCUUGGCCAAGUGCCAUCCACAUGAGUUCUGCAUGAAGAUCUUUGUGUAUGCUCUUUACACUAACCCCAACAGGAGCUAUGAAGAACUGUGUAAGCUAAAUGAAGAUCUGGCUCCCGCCAAGACAUUGGGCAGUAAAGCUAAGAAUAUGAUCAAGUUCUCCUACAAAGAUCUGCCUAGAGAACACAAGACUUGCUUGUUGUACCUAGCCAUCUUUCCUCAAGGCCACAACAUCAAGAGAUCAACCUUAAUAGGACGAUGGGUUACGGAGGGGUUGAUAACUAAGCAGGACUGGGCCACUGCAGUGCAUCAUGCGGAGCAAUGUUUUGACACCCUGAUUAAAAAAGGGCUUAUAUUGCCUCAUGAUAUUGGUGCUGCAGGAAAGGUCAAGAGCUGCAUGGUAGGUGAUCAAGUCCAUGGGUUUAUCACCGAGGUCGCAGAAAAAGAACACAUUUUGGAUGCACGCCUUUCUGAUCUUUGGGCUCGCCACUUCUCCAUCUUUAGUGGUCUCCGACUCCGUGCCUCUGAUGGCAUCGAGAAGUUUGUAUACAAGCUCCCCAAAUAUUCACCACAACUGCCGCUCCUGAAGGUGUUAGAUCUGGAAGGCACUCAAUGCUUUGACAAAAAUCACUACCUCAGGGACAUUUGCAACAAGAUGUUACUUCUCAAGUAUCUGAGCCUAAGAGGAACAAAUGUUAGACAUCUUCCCAGUGAAAUAAACAACCUCCAUGAGCUAGAGGUAUUGGAUAUCCGGGAAACUAUGGUGCCUGAGCGUGCAACAAGGAAUAUCCUGCUCCUGAAGCUGAGGCGCUUCUUGGCUAGCCGUGUUGAUCCAAAUUCAAGACUCAAUGAUAAGUCGGCACGCUUUCCUGUCCAGAUUCCUUUCAAGAUUGAGAAAAUGGAAAAUUUGGAGAUAUUGUCAAAUGUCAGGGCUUCAGGGGAUGGCAGUGAGUUGAAAGAGAUAAGACAUCUAUGGCAACUAAGGAAGCUCAAUGUGGUUAUCGAAGACAGGAACAAUCACCUUGAGAAGUUGCUUCGAGCCAUCGGAGACCUAAAAGAUUGUCUCCAGUCCCUUUCAAUCACUAUAUCCUACAAUACCAGAACUAAGAGCACUCUCUCCAACAAAGAGAUGCGUGAUCUGUUAAGACAAAGUCCCAAGCAUCUUGAGAGCCUAAGCAUCAAUGGAGUCACACAAAGUGGGCAGCUCCUUGAACUGCUGGCCAAAGGUAGUGAUGAACUUGCCAAGGUAACUCUGACUGGUACCUUGCUGGAAGAGGGUGAUCUGGUGGUCCUUGCCGUGCUUCCCAAAUUACACUCCGUCAGACUCCGAUCCAAUGCAUACAAUGGGAGAGAGCUCACCUUCAAGAAGGAUGUAUUUCCACAACUCAAAUACUUUCUUGUUGAGGGCUCCAACAAGGCUGUGACUGACAUCAAGUUUGAAGAUGGAGCAGCUACUGAGCUUGAGAAGAUUGUUUUGUCCUCCACCAAUAUAAGGUUUCUUAGUGGGAUCGAGAACCUUCCAAAAUUGAAGGAGCUUGAGUUGGAAGGAAACCAGUCCCUACUUUCAUUUUCUCAAGACAAAGUAUCUCCUGACCAAAGCACCGAGAGUGGAUCCGCUGAGCAGAACACAAAGGGCGAAGCUACCUUGUGA